UUUUGUUUUGUUUCCAGAAAGCUUUCUACUUUGGGCUUCUGUCUGAUGGUCAAGGAGAGAGCAACUCAGGAGAAACAUUCCACCUUGGUCAUGGUUAUUUAUUUCCUGAACUAUGACUGAGCUUUGCUUGGUACAUUUCUGGUCCCCGAUGCACCAUCCUCAACCAGGGAUCACUGAAAGGUUCUCCCCGCACACAGCUGCUGUGGACCGUACCUCACCAUCCAAACACGGGAGAUGAUUGCCUCUUGGCAUUAGCCAGCGAGCACACUUGUUCACCCCAGCCUUCAGAACCAGUAACUCCACAACAAGGCAUUCUG